rnacentral:rRNA from 1 species
UACGGAGGAUGCAAGCGUUAUCCGGAUUCAUUGGGUUUAAAGGGUGCGCAGGCGGAGUGAUAAGUCAGUGGUGAAAUCCUACGGCUCAACUGUAGAACUGCCAUUGAUACUGUCAUUCUUGAGUACUGUUGAGGUGGGCGGAAUGUGUCAUGUAGCGGUGAAAUGCUUAGAUAUGACACAGAACACCGAUCGCGAAGGCAGCUCACCAAGCAGAAACUGACGCUCAUGCACGAAAGCGUGGGGAUCAAACAGGAUUAGAAACCCUUGUAGUCC